AACGAACGCUGGCGGCGUGCUUAACACAUGCAAGUCGAACGAGAAAGGGGUAGCAAUACCCCCGGUAAAGUGGCGAACGGGUGAGUAACACGUGGGUAACCUGCCCUCGAGCUCGGAAUAACCCGCCGAAAGGUGGGCUAAUACCGGAUAAAGCUCAUGGCCCUUCGGGGCUGUGAACCACAGAUGGCCAAUGCUUGCAAGCUAUCACUUGAGGAGGGGCCCGGGGCCCAUUAGCUCGUUGGCGGGGUAAUGGCCCACCAAGGCGACGAUGGGUAGCCGGCCUGAGAGGGCGAUCGGCCACAUUGGAACUGAGACACGGUCCAGACUCCUACGGGAGGCAGCAGUGAGGAAUCUUGCGCAAUGGGCGAAAGCCUGACGCAGCAACGCCGCGUGGGUGAUGAAGGCCUUCGGGUCGUAAAACCCUGUCAGGUGGGAAGAAUCGGAGGAGGGCUAAUAUCCCUUUUCCCUGACUGUACCACCGGAGGAAGCCCCGGCUAACUCCGUGCCAGCAGCCGCAGUAACAC
rnacentral:rRNA from 1 species